GACGAACGCUGGCGGCGUGCUUAACACAUGCAAGUCGAACGAUGAAGCCUAGCUUGCUGGGUGGAUUAGUGGCGAACGGGUGAGUAACACGUGAGUAACCUGCCCCUUACUCUGGGAUAAGCGCUGGAAACGGCGUCUAAUACUGGAUAUUACCUUUCAUCGCAUGGUGUUUGGUGGAAAGAUUUUUCGGUUUGGGAUGGACUCGCGGCCUAUCAGCUUGAUGGUGAGGUAGUGGCUCACCAUGGCGACGACGGGUAGCCGGCCUGAGAGGGUGACCGGCCACACUGGGACUGAGACACGGCCCAGACUCCUACGCGAGGCAGCAGUGGGGAAUAUUGCACAAUGGGCGCAAGCCUGAUGCAGCAACGCCGCGUGAGGGAUGACGGCCUUCGGGUUGUAAACCUCUUUUAGUAGGGAAGAAGCGUAAGUGACGGUACCUACAGAAAAAGCACCGGCUAACUACGUG
rnacentral:rRNA from 1 species